GGGUUUUGGCUUCAGUAUCUGUGGGGGGCGGGAGUACAAGAUGGAUCUGUUUGUGCUGCGGCUCGCCGAGGAUGGGCCGGCCAUCCGCAAUGGCAGAAUGAGGGUGGGGGAUCAAAUCAUUGAGAUAAAUGGGGAUAGUACCCGAGACAUGACUCACGCCCGGGCCAUCGAGGUGAUCAAGACAGGGGGUGGUGGGUGAGACUGCUGCUGAAGAGAGGCACAGGACAGGUGCCUGAGUAUGGAAUGGUACCUUCCAACCUCUCCAUGUGCAUGAAAAGUGACACGCUAAAUUCCCCCUAUUUCUUCCUAAUGGGCCACUCUAAAGACACGGGUCGUGAAAAUCUGCAUGUCUUUCUCUCCAUUCUGAC